rnacentral:misc_RNA from 1 species
GAUAGUUCUUGGUACCUGCAGUAUAGAAGCAAAUGACUUUUUGAUUCCUUAUGCUUUGGAAAGCAAAAUAUCUAUCAAGCCUUUUCUUUGUUAGCCCUCUUUCUCAACAAGCUACUCAUGUUCCCGUGCAAAAGAAAAGGACAUUUUUUUGAUGCAAUUUUGACCUCCAAAUAGCUAUCUAUCUAUGUGACACCUAUCAAGUUUAUUCGUAGCAUGCCACAUGUACAAGGA